GCCACGUUACUGCGGGGUGUAACGCCGCCUUGUUUUGACCAGUUUCUGUAGGUCACCGAGUCGACAUUUUCGCCGUCGUCGUCGAAAAUUCCUCUCGACACGAAAGCUAAUCCGCUUUCUGUACCGGCAGUGCAAUCAAGCUUGCAGCCAACAUCCAGACCCUCUCGAAGCCUCAAACAUGAAUGCAUCAGGCCUUCAGAAACACUGUGCUGCUGUUUGUCACAGAGUUGGUUCCAAACCAGAACCACAGACGACACUGCAGAAUUGGAUAAAGAUUAAAGAUAAGAUGGAGAAUGAAAGGACAAAGGGAAGACAUCAAGUAUUUUUCAGCUUCUCGAAGGAAAAACCUUCUCCUUUCCUGCCUGUAACAUUUGAUCUGGGUUCACCUUUAACAUGCACAACAAUUUAGGCCUUACCUUUGGACAGUUUGUUGGUCUACUGCACAGCAGAAAACUGAAUAAUUCGAGGUACAAUUAAAAUAUUUUAACUGGU